rnacentral:rRNA from 1 species
UACAGAGGUCCCAAGCGUUGUUCGGAUUCAUUGGGCGUAAAGGGUGCGUAGGCGGCGCGGGAAGUCGGGGGUGAAAUCUCGGAGCUUAACUCCGAAACUGCAUUCGAUACUGCCGUGCUUGAGGACUGGAGAGGAGACUGGAAUUUACAGUGUAGCAGUGAAAUGCGUAGAUAUCGUGAGGAAGACCAGUGGCGAAGGCGGGUCUCUGGACAGUUCCUGACGCUGAGGCACGAAGGCCAGGGGAGCAAACGGG